rnacentral:rRNA from 1 species
AUUGAAAGCUGGCGGCAGGCUUAACACAUGCAAGUCGAGCGGAGAUGAGGUGCUUGCACCUUAUCUUAGCGGCGGACGGGUGAGUAAUGCUUAGGAAUCUGCCUAUUAGUGGGGGACAACAUUCCGAAAGGAAUGCUAAUACCGCAUACGCCCUACGGGGGAAAGCAGGGGAUCUUCGGACCUUGCGCUAAUAGAUGAGCCUAAGGCGGAUUAGCUAGUUGGUGGGGUAAAGGCCUACCAAGGCGACGAUCUGUAGCGGGUCGGAGAGGAUGAACCGCCACGCUGAGACUGAGACACGGCCCAGACUCCUACGGGAGGCAGCAGUGGGGAAUAUUGGACAAUGGGCGGAAGCCUGAUCCAGCCAUGCCGCGUGUGUGAAGAAGGCCUUUUGGUUGUAAAGCACUUUAAGCGAGGAGGAGGCUACCUGGAUUAAUACUCUAGGAUAGUGGACGUUACUCGCAGAAUAAGCACCGGCUAACUCUGUGCCAGCAGCCGCCGUAACAC